rnacentral:lncRNA from 1 species
UCGCGGCGGGAACGCGGGGCCUCCGUGUUCUGCUGUCUUCAUCAGCGUGGGCCGCGGGCCAUCAUGAGGAAGCCACGAGCAGCCGUGGGAAGUGGUCACAGGAAGCAGGCAGCCAGCCAGGAAGGGAGGCAGAAGCAUGCUAAGAACAACAGUCAGGCCAAGCCUUCUGCCUGUGAUGGCCUGGCCAGGCAGCCGGAAGAGGUGGUAUUGCAGGCCUCUGUCUCCUCAUACCAUCUAUUCAGAGACGUAGCUGAAGUCACAGCCUUCCGAGGGAGCCUGCUAAGCUGGUACGACCAAGAGAAACGGGACCUACCAUGGAGAAGACGGGCAGAAGAUGAGAUGGACCUGGACAGGCGGGCAUAUGCUGGUCAGUACAUCUCCUGAGAGCAGGGCCACUUUGCCUCGAGGCCCUUGGGUCUGGGGGCUGUGGGCCAGGUAGGGGCAGGUCAGCAGUGUCCUCAUGCCAACCCCUUUCCCCCAGUGUGGGUCUCAGAGGUCAUGCUGCAGCAGACCCAGGUUGCCACUGUGAUCAACUACUAUACCGGAUGGAUGCAGGUGACUCCAGGGGAGGAAGGGAAGGGUCAUGGGUCAGACCCCAGAUGAGAGCCUCUACUUUGGGGUGGGUGUAGAGAAGGCUUCCUCUACCACCUUCACCCUUGACCUUGUCUCUUUCUGCCUGCCUGUGGCUAUAGAAGUGGCCUACACUGCAGGACCUGGCCAGUGCUUCCCUGGAGGUGAGAGCCACCCUAGGGUAGGGGAAAUAGGAACAAUAGAGGGACUGACGGGUGAUCUCUUUGACCUCUGAUCCUACCCACAGGAGGUGAAUCAACUCUGGGCUGGCCUGGGCUACUAUUCUCGUGGCCGGCGGCUGCAGGAGGGAGCUCGGAAGGUGGUAGAGGAGCUAGGGGGCCACAUGCCACGUACAGCAGAGACCCUGCAGCAGCUCCUGCCUGGCGUGGGGCGCUACACAGCUGGGGCCAUUGCCUCUAUCGCCUUUG